rnacentral:rRNA from 1 species
UACGUAGGGGGCAAGCGUUGUCCGGAUUUAUUGGGCGUAAAGAGCGUGUAGGCGGCCAGGUAGGUCCGUUGUGAAAACUCGAGGCUCAACCUCGAGACGUCGGCGGAAACCCUCUGGCUAGAGUCCGGAAGAGGAGAGUGGAAUUCCUGGUGUAGCGGUGAAAUGCGCAGAUAUCAGGAAGAACACCCGUGGCGAAGGCGGCACUCUGGGCCGGUACUGACGCUGAGGAGCGAAAGCGUGGGGAGCAAACAGG